rnacentral:lncRNA from 1 species
UCAUAAAAUGAUUUGUAUGAUCAUUCUUCACAUGAUUAGAAUUACUAUGGGAAAGAAGAAAAAGAAAUGCAACUUUCUUGAUUUAAAAUUUUAUCUGUGCAAGUGUGGUGGCACACACCUGUAGUCAGUCCCAACUGCUAGGGAGGGUGGGUAGGAUGAUCAUGUGAUACCAGGAGUUUGAGGCUAUGUAGUGUACUAUGAUUGUGUUAGUGAAUAACCAGUGCAUUCCAGUCUGGGCAAUGUAGUUAAACCCCAUUAAAUAAAUAAAUAAAUAAGUUACAGAGGUCGUUGUUUAUAUUUCUAUGACUAGGGCUGAAAUCCUCUAGAUAGAGAUUUUUUUUUUUUUUUUGAGAUAGAGUGUCGCUCUGUCACCC